GUAGGGAAUAUUGGACAAUGGGGGCAACCCUGAUCCAGCGACGCCGCGUGAGUGACGAAGGCCUUCGGGUCGUAAAGCUCUGUUGCAAGGGAAAAACAAAAUGAUGGUACCUUGCUAGAAAGGAUCGGCUAACUUCGUGCCAGCAGCCGCGGUAAGACGAGGGAUCCUAGCGUUGUUCGGAAUUAUUGGGCGUAAAGCGGGUGUAGGUGGCUUUGUAAGUCAGGUGUGAAAGCCUGGGGCUUAAUCCCAGAAGUGCAUUUGAUACUGCGAAGCUUGAGUGCUGGAGAGGCUACUAGAAUUCUUGGUGUAGUGGUGAAAUACGUAGAUAUCAAGAGGAAUACCGGAGGCGAAGGCGGGUAGCUGGCCAGACACUGACACUCAGACCCGAAAGCGUGGGGAUCAAACAGGAUUAGAAACCCGUGUAGUCC
rnacentral:rRNA from 1 species